AGUAACGCGUAUGCAACCUACCUAUCAGAGGGGGAAUAACCCGGCGAAAGUCGGACUAAUACCGCAUAAAACAGGGGCACCGCAUGGUGAUAUUUGUUAAAGAAAUUCGCUGAUAGAUGGGCAUGCGUUCCAUUAGGUAGUUGGUGAGGUAACGGCUCACCAAGCCGACGAUGGAUAGGGGAACUGAGAGGUUGGUCCCCCCACACUGGUACUGAGACACGGACCAGACUCCUACGGGAGGCAGCAGUGAGGAAUAUUGGUCAAUGGGCGGGAGCCUGAACCAGCCAAGUCGCGUGCAGGAAGAAUGUCCCUAUGGAUUGUAAACUGCUUUUGCAGGGGAAUAAAGUGCAUCACGUGUGAUGUUUUGUAUGUACUCUGCGAAUAAGGAUCGGCUAACUCCGUGCCAGCCGCCGC
rnacentral:rRNA from 1 species